rnacentral:rRNA from 1 species
AAAAAAGGUAAGCUACUAAGAGCGAAUGGUGGAUGCCUUGACUGGUAAAGGCGAUGAAGGACGUACUAGACUGCGAUAAGCUACGGGGAGCUGUCAAGAAGCUUUGAUCCGUAGAUUUCCGAAUGGGGCAACCCAAUGUAUAGAGAUAUACAUUACCCAUAUAGGAGCGAACGAGGGGAAUUGAAACAUCUUAGUACCCUCAGGAAAAGAAAUCAAUAGAGAUUGCGUCAGUAGCGGCGAGCGAAAGCGCAAGAGGGCAAACCCAGUGCUUGCACUGGGGGUUGUAGGACUGCAAUGUGCAAGAGGUGAGUUUAGCAGAACAUUCUGGAAAGUAUAGCCAUAGAGGGUGAUAGUCCCGUAUGCGAAAAACAAACCUUAGCUAGCAGUAUCCUGAGUAGGGCGGGACACGAGAAAUCCUGUCUGAAGCUGGGUCGACCACGAUCCAACCCUAAAUACUAAUACCAGAUCGAUAGUGCACAAGUACCGUGAGGGAAAGGUGAAAAGAACUGAGGUGAUCAGAGUGAAAUAGAACCUGAAACCAUUUGCUUACAAUCAUUCAGAGCCCUAUGUAGCAAUACAGGGUGAUGGACUGCCUUUUGCAUAAUGAGCCUGCGAGUUGUGGUGUCUGGCAAGGUUAAGCAAACGCGAAGCCGUAGCGAAAGCGAGUCUGAAUAGGGCGCUUAGUCAGAUGCUGCAGACCCGAAACGAAGUGAUCUAUCCAUGAGCAAGUUGAAGCUAGUGUAAGAACUAGUGGAGGACUGAACCCAUAGGCGUUGAAAAGCCCCGGGAUGACUUGUGGAUAGGGGUGAAAGGCCAAUCAAACUUCGUGAUAGCUGGUUCUCUCCGAAAUAUAUUUAGGUAUAGCGUUGUGUCGUAAUAUAAGGGGGUAGAGCACUGAAUGGGCUAGGGCAUACACCAAUGUACCAAACCCUAUCAAACUCCGAAUACCUUAUAUGUAAUCACAGCAGUCAGGCGGCGAGUGAUAAAAUCCGUCGUCAAGAGGGAAACAACCCAGACUACCAGCUAAGGUCCCUAAAUCUUACUUAAGUGGAAAACGAUGUGAAGUUACUUAAACAACCAGGAGGUUGGCUUAGAAGCAGCCAUCCUUUAAAGAAAGCGUAAUAGCUCACUGGUCUAGUGAUUUUGCGCGGAAAAUAUAACGGGGCUAAAGU